rnacentral:rRNA from 1 species
GUGGGGAAUAUUGGUCAAUGGGGGAAACCCUGAACCAGCAACGCCGCGUGAAGGAAGAAGGCUUUCGGGUUGUAAACUUCUUUGACAGGGGACGAAAUAAAUGACGGUACCCUGAAAACAAGCCACGGCUAACUACGUGCCAGCAGCCGCGGUAAUACGUAGGUGGCAAGCGUUGUCCGGAUUUACUGGGUGUAAAGGGCGUGUAGGCGGGACAGUAAGUCAGAUGUGAAAUGCUGAGGCUUAACCUCAGAGCUGCAUUUGAAACUAUUGUUCUUGAGUGAUGGAGAGGCAGGCGGAAUGCCGUGUGUAGCGGUGAAAUGCGUAGAUAUACGGAGGAACACCAGUGGCGAAGGCGGCCUGCUGGACAUUAACUGACGCUGAGGCGCGAAAGCGUGGGGAGCAAACAGGAUUAGAAACCCUGGUAGUCC